rnacentral:rRNA from 1 species
UACGUAGGGUGCAAGCGUUUAAUCGGAAUUACUGGGCGUAAAGCGUGCGCAGGCGGCUAUGCAAGACAGAUGUGAAAUCCCCGGGCUCAACCUGGGAACUGCAUUUGUGACUGCAUGGCUAGAGUACGGUAGAGGGGGAUGGAAUUCCGCGUGUAGCAGUGAAAUGCGUAGAUAUGCGGAGGAACACCGAUGGCGAAGGCAAUCCCCUGGACCUGUACUGACGCUCAUGCACGAAAGCGUGGGGAGCAAACAGG